rnacentral:rRNA from 1 species
AGGACGAACGCUGGCGGCGUGCCUAACACAUGCAAGUCGAACGGACGAGGGGAGCUUGCUCCCCAAGUUAGUGGCGGACGGGUGAGUAACACGUGAGCAACCUGCCCUUCGGAGGGGGACAACAGUUGGAAACGACUGCUAAUACCGCAUAAUGUAUUCUGGAGGCAUCUCCGGGAUACCAAAGAUUUUAUCGCCGAAGGAUGGGCUCGCGUCUGAUUAGAUAGUUGGCGGGGUAACGGCCCACCAAGUCUGCGAUCAGUAGCCGGACUGAGAGGUUGAACGGCCACAUUGGGACUGAGAUACGGCCCAGACUCCUACGGGAGGCAGCAGUGGGGAAUAUUGGGCAAUGGGGGCAAACCCCCUGACCCAGCAACGCCGCGUGGAGGAAGAAGGCUUUCGGGUUGUAAACUCCUUUGACGAGGGACGAUAAUGACGGUACCUCGAAAACAAGCCACGGCUAACUACGUGCCAGCAGCAGC